ACACCUGACCCCAUGCCGAACUCAGAAGUGAAACGCCGUAGCGCCGAUGGUAGUGUGGGGUCUCCCCAUGCGAGAGUAGGGAACUGCCAGGC
rnacentral:rRNA from 1 species